rnacentral:tRNA from 1 species
AUUCAAAUAGUUUAAAAUAAAAUAUAACAUUGAUAAAGUUAAGAUGAUAUUGUCUUUGAAUA